rnacentral:snRNA from 1 species
AGCCAUGUGGUAAGCACAAAGCGAACUAUUCUUUCGCCUUUUACUAAAGAAUACCGUGUGCUCUCCACGCUAAGUGGCAUACGCCUAUUUUUGGAGGGCUCUCACUUUACAGUGGGAC